rnacentral:piRNA from 1 species
UGAUUUCAAAUUGUAUAUUUUGUAAUU